ACAAAUCACCCUCUCUAUCUCCUCUAUCUCUGAAGUUUCUUUUCUCUCUAUUUUAGUCUCUUAUCUCUUUUCUGUUCCACACCUUAAGUGUCGGUUGCAUUUUCCUUUUAUAUUUUGUAAUUGUUCAUUUUCACUUUGACGUUUAUUGUUUGCAAUUACUUGCUCAUACGUGUUUGAACUAUUUUUUGUGAUUAUUGAUGUUUUCGAGAUGCGGUGCUUUGUCCAGGCAGUGUGAGAAGUGGAAUUCGCAAACAGUAAACGAAGUAUUUGAAAAUUACAAACACCAUAAAGCAAACAACGAACAGGAAUAUGAAGAGACUCCAAAUAGCAAACAAUAUGCGAAAAUAUGAAUUGCAAACGACUUGAGGAGUGUAACUAUGGCAGAUGCGAUGAAGUUAUGCAAACGAUUCGAGGAUUGAUGACUAUGACAGUAGCGGUAAAAUUUUCUGUAUAGAGUUUGGUAUUGCGGAUUUGGUUUUACGACAUAUUUGGAAAUGAAGCAAUAAUUUCGGUUCUUUUCGGGGAGAGAAUUAUGGGAUUAUUAUGCUGAUAUUUUUAUUUCCAUUAGUUAUUAG
rnacentral:lncRNA from 1 species